rnacentral:lncRNA from 1 species
AUUUACACUAGGAUGUAAACAGUUUUUCAACUGUUUUUCACUGUGGGGGAUGAGAGUUUUUGAAGAAGGUAAGACUGAAGGAAUAACAGGAUGGGGACUAGGGUGAGCCAGAUGCCUAGGGUUCAACAUUUAAGGAGGCGCUCAUUCUCAAGUGAUAACUCCAGGCUCAGCACCUGAGACUGCCUCCUUAAAUGUCAUGCCCUGUUUGUGUUAUUUGCCUCGCUCUUAUCCCAGUCCUUUAAGGAUAAAGUUUAACCAGCUUUGGUUUCUGUUACUUGUGAUGAAGUAUCCUUAAUGCAUUUCCCUUCCCCACCCAUGAACUGAGGGAGUCAUUCUUCCUGGGAACACCCAUAAUAUCCUCUGAUUAUACCUAUACUAUACUUACAACACAGUUUUCUCACUAUUUACACAUCCAUAUGCAUCGGCACUCUGUGCGCUCCUUAAACAAAGAGACUGUGACAUAAUCUUCUUUAUAGCUGCAAUAUCUAGUCCUGUACCUGUUGAGUGGGGUUGCCUGUAGAUAUUAAAAGCCCUGAGGAAAUGUUCGAGGAGAGAGAGAAUCUAUCUAUAGCAAUCAUCUGAUUACAAAAAUAAUUAUAAAAGUCAUGGACCCAUGUGAGAUGGAGUGAUUUGCUGUUAAAGAGUCAAGGUAAGGAAAAGCUGAAGAGAGUCAAGGUAAGGAAACAUAGCUACUUAUUGUCCAAUCGGUGAACAUAAAAAUUUUUUCUAGUUUCUUGGAGUCACCUAUUUGUAUUAAUUAUUACUAAAGAAACCAUUCCUGUUCAAUUUCAUAUCUACCACUGCAAGGAAAAGGUAGUAACACUAUUAUCAUUCACAAUGCAAUGGCUCUUCAGGUCCUAUUAUAAUUGGAACCGUAUAGAUCUUUUUGCCUCUGCAGUUCCAUAAUGCCAUUUAUUUAAUGCUGAUUACAGCAUUACUCAUAUUGCUUCAACAUCCAUUGUACUGCCUGUGAACACUGGAUACUAAUGACUCAAAUGGUGUUAGUGUAUUUGUUCAUGAUGACCACAAACACAGGUCUCACACAGAGAAUGCAGGAAAAUGCAAACAAUUAUUCAUACUGUGGUCAUGUUAAAUUUAUUGUUUGGAAUGUAUUAAUAGCAUUUAUUUAUAGAACUUACUGCAUUAACAUAGAAUGGCAUAUCUCUCAACCAUGUCCUCUCUUGAAUUGUCUAGACCUUAAUCACUGCAUCCCUAGAAUGUGACUCUUUUAAGGUUGGCUGCAGCCCUGCUUUCCAUAUAUAGUUAUCAGUGGUGAAGAUAGAUGAGAGGCCCUGGAUAGAUGAAAAGAGCCAUCCCAUUUGGGCAACCAGUGUCCAUCACUUGUUCAUCAAGGCUUACAACCAACCCAGAAGAGAAUGUCACCAUGUUUAUUAGAGUGAGAAACUCAAGACAAAAUACCAAAAGCAACUGCCUGAAGACUCUGGAAAAACAAAAACAAAAACAGGUAAAUUGGAGUGGAGAAUGAAAACCUGGAGAAAUGUUCUGUAUGUUUGCUUUUCCUCUUUUCUCACAGCUUUUGACCUAAGGCCCAACACCUAGUGAAACUGUGGUGACAGGAAAAACCGACAGAAACCUGUAUGUCUUGCCAGAAUGGGGAUAGGGGGCUUUUGUGAGCCAAAAGUUAGUCGGGGGAAUACUUAGCUCCCCCUCUUCUGGUUUUUCUUUCUUUUUUUUAAUUUCUCUCUCUCUCUCUCUCUCUCUCUCUCUCUCUGGGCAUUGGCCCAAGAGUGAGGCCCUAGGCUUGGGUAUCUACAAUACUAACAGAAGCUCUGUUUUUAUGGACAAAGGAAGUAGAAAAGGAGGCCUUUGUGGUCUGAAGAGUGUAGAGGGAAUCCACAUUUUUUCUCUCUCUUUUCUGUCACUGCUUUGUCUCAGAAUCUGCCCUAGUCAGCUGCUAUGCCAGGCUGCUAAAACUCCAAGAGGAACCUCAUAUUUCUGGUGAGAGGACCUUGCGAGACAAAAGGAGAAGAAUGUAAGAGGAGAGAGCUAGAGAAGAGGAUCCCCUAAUUCUAUGUAUGAACCUAUACAAGUUCUGUGUUCACACCUAAACUGAACACGUGCAGAACAAACACAAAAUAGCAUAGCAAAACUGAAUUUCAAUUUAAACUACUGCUAACAUCCCCAAAUAAUCCCUGAGUAUUGUAGGUAUAGGACACAGCAAAGCCUUUGAAAACCCAGCUGACAUGGAACCAGUACUCAUAGAAGAUGAGACCGAACUUUUGACCUGAACCAAAUUGGAUCGAUUGCCUUCUAAAACAAAAAAAAAUCAACAUUCCCUAAAGGCUUUUAACAGGACUCAGUCUAUGCAACAUAAUGUUCAAAAUGUCCUAGAUAAAAUCCACAAUUACACAGUAUAAAAGAACUGGAAAAAUGUGACCAACUUGCAAGGGAAAAUAUAAUCAACACCUGCUAACUCCUAGAUGACCAAAAUGUUAUAAUACAGAUUUUAAAGCAACAAUCAUAACUAGAGAGUAGUUGAACAAUUUCUCUCCUAAACAUAAUCAUACUUGCAUAAAGACAUUUCAGUCAAUGAUGAACCACAUAUACAAAGGUGGUCCCAUAAGAUUACAAUACCAUAUUUUUA